UACGUAGGGGGCAAGCGUUGCCCGGGUUUACUGGGCGUAAAGCGCGCGUAGGUGGAAAGUUAAGUCCGGUCUGAAAGCCCCCGGCUCAACCGGGGAGGGUGGCUGGAAACUGGCGUUCUUGAGGGCGAGAGAGGAGGGUGGAAUUCCCGGUGUAGCGGUGAAAUGUGUAGAGAUCGGGAGGAACACCGGUGGCGAAGGCGGGUCUCUGGGCAUCUCCUGACGCUGAGGAGCGAAAGCGUGGGGAGCGAACAGG
rnacentral:rRNA from 1 species